rnacentral:rRNA from 1 species
CCUACGGGUGGCAGCAGUGAGGAAUAUUGGUCAAUGGACGAGAGUCUGAACGAGCCACGUAGCGUGAAGGAUGACUGUCCUAUGGGUUGUAAACUUCUUUUAUAUGGGAGUAAAAUGUUCCACGUGUGGGAUUUUGUAUGUACCAUAUGAAUACGGAACGGCUAACUCCGUGCCAGCAGCCGCGGUAAUACGGUGGAUCCGAGCGUUAUCCGGAUUUAUUGGGUUUAAAGGGAGCGUAGGUGGAUUGUUAAGUCAGUUGUGAAAGUUUGCGGUUCAACCGUAAAAGUGCAGUUGAAACUGGCAGUCUUGAGUACAGUAGAGGUGGGUGGAAUUCGUGGUGUAGCGGUGAAAUGCUUAGAUAUCACGAAGAACUCCGAUGGCGAAGGCAGUUCACUGGACUGCAACUGACACUGAGGCUCGAAAGUGUGGGUAGCAAACAGGAUUAGAUACCCGUGUAGUC